UACGGAGGGGGCUAGCGUGGUGCGGAAUUACUGGGCGUAAAGCGCACGUAGGCGGAUUUGAUAGUCAGAGGUGAAAUCCCAGGGCUCAACCUUGGAACUGCCUUUGAUACUGCAAGUCUCGAGGCCGGAAGAGGUGGGUGGAAUUCCUAGUGUAGAGGUGAAAUUCGUAGAUAUUAGGAAGAACACCAGUGGCGAAGGCGGCCCACUGGUCCGGUACUGACGCUGAGGUGCGAAAGCGUGGGGAGCAAACAGG
rnacentral:rRNA from 1 species